rnacentral:rRNA from 1 species
GACGAACGCUGGCGGCGUGCCUAAUACAUGCAAGUAGAACGCACAGUUUAUACCGUAGCUUGCUACACCAUAGACUGUGAGUUGCGAACGGGUGAGUAACGCGUAGGUAACCUGCCUGGUAGCGGGGGAUAACUAUUGGAAACGAUAGCUAAUACCGCAUAAUAUUAAUUAUUGCAUGAUAAUUAAUUGAAAGGUGCAAUUGCACCACUACCAGAUGGACCUGCGUUGGAUUAGCUAGUAGGUGAGGUAAUGGCGCACCUAGGCGACGAUACAUAGCCGACCUGCGUGGGCGGUCAGCCGCCCUGGGACUGAGACACGCCCCAGACUCCUACGGGAGGCAGCCGUAGGGAAUCUUCGGCCAUGGGCGAAAGUCUGACCGAGCAACGCCGCGUGAGUGAAGAAGGUUUUCGGAUCGUAAAGCUCUGUUGUAAGAGAAGAACGGGUGUGAGAGUGGAAAGUUCACACUGUGACGGUAUCUUACCAGAAAGGGACGGCCAACUACGUG